CGGCAAGUUGGCGGCAUCUUACCAAUCAGAGCAGCCAGCCAGCCGACAGGCGGGCCGACCGGCUAAUGGGAAACAAGGACUACGGAAGGCCAGGGUCGGGAGAAGAGGCAGGAGGCUAGCGCUAUCUUUCAGUUCUUCAAGGCAGCGGGCAAGACGCACAUGACCCCGGGAAUGAGCCACAGACAAUGGCAGACGGCCCAGAGAAUCAGGAAUGCUCAGUGCCUGUCGGUUCCAACGGAAAAGGAGCACAGCAGCUUCCAGGUGUCCCAGGGCACAAGCCCACAUCUGAGAAAGGAGGCAGGAGACGGAGGUGGAGACCACUUUGCUCCUCACAGAAGUACCUGAAUUGGAGGAGCAUCAGGACCCUGGCAAGGUGCCUGCCCAGCUGCUGCAAUCUCUGCCAUCCGCUUCUCCAUCUGCUCUAGUCGCUCUAGUAUGGACAUCCGGAACUGGUUGUCUGAGGGGGAAUGGGUUUGGGAGGCUAAGUGGGCAGAGUCUAGGUGAUGCCCUGAACACCAAGGCUGGACCUGUCCCAAGAUCUGGGGAUGAGGACACAGAAUCAUAUUCUUUCAUCUUUCCCAAAACAACAGCUCCUUUAUCCACUCACCUAAAUAAAGCGCACCAGAACUCA